rnacentral:rRNA from 1 species
AUGACGGACGCAAUAUCAAAGUACUGGUGGGGCGAUGAUGACAACCAUAAGCGUAUUCAUUGGGUGGCAUGGUGGAAACUCUGUGUGCCUAAGGAUAGAGGAGGACUGGGGUUCAGGGAUUUACAUAGCUUGAACCUUGCUUUACUUGCCAAACAAGUGUGGAGGUUGCUGGAAAACCCGGACUCUCUUUGUGUGCAGAUCUUAAGGGCCAAAUAUUAUCCGGAUGGAAAGUUAUUAGAUGCUAAAUUAAAGAGUGGGAGCUCAUAUACGUGGCAGAGUAUUUGUGCUGGGAUUAACACGUUCAGGAGAGGAGCAAUAUGGCGCAUAGGAGAUGGAUCACAAGUGAAUAUCUAG